AGGACCACUCUGGAGAAUUGGGUCACACUACGGACUCGAACCCAUCAACGGGAACAAUUCAGGGACACAAGGGUGGAAAUGCGAGUAUUGGGACAGGACCGAUAAAUCCAUUCCUUUCUGACGCCACAAAGCUGCGAGUUCCUGUUAGACGCUAUUUAACACAUCAACAGUCUUGUUAUUUUGGUUAUGACGAGUGUACGAUAAUUUCCCUCAAAAUACGAUCAUUUGAUGUCUCUAGUACGAUAAUCCUACCUUUCUCACCUGGUAACACUGGAGACAGAGAGACUUGAGGAAGCAUCCGGCGAAGUUUCAUGCAGUGAAGGCGUAAAGAAGACGUACUCUGUCAGGUAUUUGUUGACCCCUUCGGGUUGGUGCGGCCAAUGAGGUGUUGAUAUUUUUUUCUCACGGCAUCGUUGAUGACAAAGUGUGUGAUUAAAUGCCUGUAAAUACCAAGAACGCCUUGUGUCCGUUUGUCCUCUUGGAGGGAGUCACAAUGGGAGAAACACCACAGAGUCAAGUUGAGGAUUAAUGCUGCGCCAAAAGUGACUCUGCAAACAGUUCUGUUUUGGGUGUUGAAGCUGCAGACAGUUUGCCCCCCUAAUGCUGAAUUCAAGCCAUGGUACUUGUGAAGCAUGGUGGCAUCAUCACCAGGUAUCAUGGUAUGGGGAUGUCUCUUUUAGUAUGGUAUCGGGUUUGAAUUUAUAAAAAUAAUCAAAGAGAUCAUGUUGCCCUAAUGCAAAAGAUGAAUUGCCCCAAAAAAAUGGAUGUUUUAACAUGAAAGUGACAAACACACAAGUAAAAUGGCAGCAUAUUGGUUACAGAUUAACAUAACGGGGAGGUUAGCCCAGUCCCUGGAAAUGUAUUCAAUAUAAAACUUGUGGAGUGACAUUCAACAACCUGUAUCUGAGGAAAACACUGGAAAUGUAGAGGAAUUGUGGAGUAUAAUCCAAGUCUCUGUAGUCCAGGUCCUGGGCUGAGAAGAGCCAGAGGUUGAUAGACUCUACAUUCAAAUGUGAAGCAUUUCUCAGAAACAAGUGGUUCGUUAUACAACUAAAGAUCAGUUCAGGAUUGACAGGAAAGUUUAAUCUUAAAAUAUUUUCCAGUCAAUAUUUGAGCUUGUUAAGAAAAGUGCUACUUUUAUAUUUCCUUUUCUUCUCCUUCUGCUGAAUGAGAACAGAUGUGAUAGAAAUUUACUUCAUGUUUUUAUUUGGAACAGGAUGUGUUGUGUUCCUGAUGCAUUUCCAUGUAUGGAAAUAAAAGCUACACACGUUGCUCAGUUUUGUAAAGUUAA